AGCUUCUGUGAUGUAAAUCUUUCACAAAGGCUGACUUCCAGCCACCGACAGGACGCCACUUAACACAGACAUAGAUAAUACCAGAUGCAUUGGAUCCCCUCAAGAGCGAGAGAAUUACCAAAUAACUAGGAAGUGAUGGCCUUUUAGUAUUUGAUCCUUUUGUUUUUAAUUUAAUUUAUUUCAUUGUAAGUUUUGUAAUUUAAUUUUUAAUAAUGGCUGUGUUUAACAACUGGCUCACAAAGUUCCUAAUAAUUUAACAAUCUCUUCCUCAGCCCCUUCUUGUCCUCAGGUUCUAAAUAGAAGCCCUGUGCUGUGCACACUGUGCAUCUCAGGUCUUGGUUUCCAAGGGAAGAAAGCAAUCUCCUUGAGCAAGUACUCCGCCACUGCCUCGGGCCCCACCUGUGCUCAGCCCUUCCUCCACUUCUUGCUACCAGUCCUGGCCCUGCAUUCCAGGUACCCAGGAAUUCACGGAAGCCUUGCCAGGCAGCUGGUGGGUGUGGAGGUGAGUAGGGAGUAGUGAGUGUCCAGGGCAGGGGCUUAGUAGCCUGGAUACUCGGGCUGCAGCCUAGAGCAAGGGGGACAC
rnacentral:lncRNA from 1 species